UGGGAUGUGGCUCAAGUGGUAGGGUGCUCGUCUGGCGUGCGUGAGGCACUGGGUUCGAUCCUCAGCACCACAU
rfam:Ictidomys tridecemlineatus contig027356, whole genome shotgun sequence.